CAGUAGCCGCGGUAAUACGUAGGGCGCGAGCGUCAAUCGGAAUUACUGGGCGUAAAGCGUGCGCAGGCGGUUGUGUAAGACAGGUGUGAAAUCCCCGGGCUUAACCUGGGAACUGCGCUUGUGACUGCACAGCUAGAGUAUGGCAGAGGGGGGUGGAAUUCCACGUGUAGCAGUGAAAUGCGUAGAGAUGUGGAGGAACACCGAUGGCGAGGGCAGCCCCCUGGGCCAAUACUGACGCUCAUGCACGAAAGCGUGGGGAGCAAACAGGAUUAGAUACCCCUGUAGUCCCUGUCUCUUAUAC
rnacentral:rRNA from 1 species